GGCAAGUUCGAGUUAAGAUCGAUUUGGGACGGUGGGAUACUGCUACUCGUGAAAAUAUUGCGUCGCAAAGAUAUUCUGUCUCCUUUGGGAGUGACGGGAAACUUUGGUUCGAUCCUCUGUUGCCGCCCGGCUCCUUGCUGUACCCUGAACUAGAGGCUGACCAGGUUUUUUUUGACUACCAAGACUUUUUAGAGACACUUUACAGCAACGGUGACUUCGAAAGGUAUGCUGAUCAUUCCAUGAAGAUACAUCCCAUUGUUGAAGCAAGCAACCAUCUGGAGGAUCCCAUGGCUGUAAGGGGCACUGUACCUCCUCCUGAUUAUUACCCGUUUGACACUGCUUUAUCUGCUCAGCCGCCUGAGGAUCUGCAGGGAUAUUAUCGAGGAAGCCACCAGCUUCUUAGCAGAUCAGGCUCGCAUUAUGGGCUGGGCGCAGGAGGGGUUAGAGCUGCCUGGGAUCAAGGCCAAACUCGGGCUCCUACUCGUGCACCUACACCUGGCUCCGCUCCACCGCCACCGCCACCUCCUCCUCCACCUCCACCUCCACCACCCACGGCUCAUGAGUUGAGCCGUUUGUACAGGGAUUCUCUAGCCUUUCCAGACAGUCAGCGUAUCCGCAGUAGGGCCUCCUCUCCUUCCUGUUUUGCGAUUGUGGGUGAUCAGGGCCAUUCUGGUUACAACGAAGUCAACGGCCUUCAUCUUGACCACCCUCAGUCGACCUGUAUCAUGAUGGACCCUGCUCCCACUUCUAUUGUGGAUGGAAGGGGAAUGUCGGCUUAUGGAAACGUACCUGCUCAAAGGAUGGCCUACGAUCCUGCCUAUGAUGCCAGCCAGGCUAUGAUGGCUUCUACACCAGCUCAGCUCACACCUGGGAUCUCAACUCACCACCCAUCAGCAGCUGUUACCAUGGACCCAAAGAGGACUGUGGAUUCGAAUUUUCUCAAUUACAUGCGUACUGAGGGUUUAUCUGAAAGCACAAUUUCCCUGCUGUUGCAGCAGGGCUUUGACUCCACCGGCAUGCUGUCCAUGAUAGAAGAGCAUGAUAUUCGCUCCCUGACUUCAAAUCUCGGACAGGCCCGGGUGCUCUCCAGGGUGGUGCUUAACUGCAAGACCGGGGGCACCGCAGUUCCAACAAUGCGUGGCCGCUCUAACAGUUUCAGCCACCGUAAUGAUCUUUACACACAGCCUCAAGGUUUGACUAUGGAAACCCACCUUUUGCAGCAGCCCUCCAACACUUUGCAGACCAUGUCUCCAAGGAUAGGCGAGUUUAUCAACCGCAGACCAAGCAGUGCACCUUCUCAACAUCUGAUAGAACCUACAAGCUAUACUGGGGCACGUUCUCUUGGCGGGCUUCCGGCCAAUCCUACGACAUAUGGCACUUCAAUGCCGCAGACACGACCGCUAGUCAUGUACAACCCCCAUACCGGUCUGCCGAUGUCAAGCCACCCUCAGCCGCAACAGUCAGGGAUUUUGGGGACAUCUGGUUUAGUAACCAAAGCUUUCACCACGCCAGUAGAGUUGAUGAAGAGAGCACCUAGUCUACCUCAUAUGUCUCAAACCGCGAAUACUCACCAUAGUCCCCAGCUUUUAAGGAAAGGGGUUCCUGCUUUGGACAGUGGGGUCGUAUCUACAGGGACCAAUGUCCAGUCUCAGACCUUUAACAAUAAGAUGACUCGCCGUACUGGUCCUCCAGUCAUUGUUUCAACCAUGGCUACACCAGAAACAAGUAUUAGGCCUCAGAUCAUGAAUGGCCCCCUGCACCCUCGCCCGUUGGUGGCGCUGUUGGAUGGACGUGACUGCACUGUCGAGAUGCCCAUCCUCAAAGACCUGGCAACCGUGGCCUUCUGCGAUGCUCAGUCCACACAGGAGAUACACGAGAAGGUGCUAAACGAGGCGGUCGGUGCCAUGAUGUACCACACCAUCACUCUGACUCGCGAGGAUCUGGAGAAGUUUAAAGCUUUACGCAUCAUCAUCCGCAUCGGCAGCGGAUACGACAACAUCGACAUUAAAGCCGCAGGGGAGCUGGGCAUUGCAGUGUGUAACAUUCCCUCAGCGGCGGUGGAAGAGACGGCAGACUCCACUAUUUGUCACAUCCUGAACCUGUACAGGAGAAACACGUGGUUGUACCAGGCUCUCCGUGAGGGCACGCGGGUCCAGAGCGUGGAGCAGAUCAGAGAGGUGGCAUCAGGAGCAGCACGAAUCCGAGGAGAAACGCUUGGCCUCAUCGGGUUCGGGCGUUCGGGGCAGGCAGUAGCGGUCCGUGCGAAGGUGUUUGGCUUCAGCGUGAUAUUUUAUGACCCGUACCUGCAGGAUGGUCUGGAGCGAGUGCUGGGAGUGCAGAGAGUUUACACACUGCAGGACCUGCUGUACCAGAGCGACUGUGUGUCUCUACACUGCAACCUGAACGAACACAACCACCACCUGAUCAACGACUUCACCAUCAAACAGAUGCGUCAGGAGCGUUCCUGGUGAACACGGCUCGAGGUGGGCUGGUGGAUGAGAAGGCUCUGGCUCAUGCCCUGAAGGAGGGAAGGAUACGAGGAGCUGCGCUCGAUGUCCAUGAGAACGAGCCGUUCAGUUUUGCACAGGGACCACUGAAGGAUGCUCCGAAUCUGAUCUGCACUCCACACACGGCAUGGUACAGUGAACAGGCAUCUCUGGAAAUGAGGGAGGCAGCGGCUACGGAGAUCCGCCGAGCUAUCACCGGCCGGAUCCCAGACAGUCUGAGGAACUGUGUGAAUAAGGAGUUCUUUAUCACCUCUACAGCAUGGGGGGUGAUGGAGCAGCAGAGCGUCCACCCCGAGCUUAACGGCACUGGAUACAGCCAAGUGACCCAGGGCAUGCAGGCCAUCACUGCUGGAGCUCCCCAAGACAAAAUCAAUGCCUAACACACCAGCAGGUUCCCGCCGGGCAUGGUUGGGGUGGCGCCAGGGGGCAUCGCCGCGGCGAUGGAGGGCAUAGUGCCGGGCGGAGUGCCUGUAACACACUCGCUACCAUCAGUCACACACCCGUCACAGGCGCCAUCUCCAAACCAG